rnacentral:rRNA from 1 species
CAGGGGAUGCAAGCGUUACUCGGAAUUACUGGGCGUAAAGCGUCUGCAGGUGUCCUUCCACGUCUGAUGUAAAAGCACGAAGCUCAACUCCGUGUACGUGUCGGAAACGAGAAGGAUCGAGUCAAUCAGAGGCAUCUGGAAUGUCGUGUGUAGGGGUAAAAUCCGUAGAUCCACGAUGGAACGCCAAAAGCGAAGGCAGGAUGCUGGGGUUGUACUGACACUCAGAGACGAAAGCGUGGGGAGCAAAGGGGAUUAGAUACCCCGUAGUCCACGCCCUAAACUAUGUGAGCUCGGUGUAGGCAUUUUCAAUUGUGCCUGUGCCUUAGCUUACGCGUUAAGCUCACCGCCUGGGAAGUACGGCCGCAAGGCUA